rnacentral:rRNA from 1 species
UUUCGGUAGGGGAACUUGGGGAAGGACCAUUA